UUGGUGGGCUCAGGCCAGCUGUUUGCGAGU
rnacentral:piRNA from 1 species